UCUUCCAUCAUACACUUGUAAAGGUGUAGUAUCAAGGACGUGAAUGGGAAGAUUAAUUAAGAUGCUGCCACCUUCUGCUGGUUCUAACUGCUCAAAAGUCAGUAAGAUUCUCUUUAAAGUGCAAAACAGUAAAACCAAGGAUGUGGACACUUCCCCUUACAGUCGGAUAUCUAUUUCCAUUUUCAUUUGAGGGUUGAUAAUAUUUUGGACAAGGGCUAUUAGCAAUGACUUCUAGAAAAUUUUAUAAUAAAUCAGAAAAUGGAUCUGUUCUUGCAUUCACAUCCUUAGUGGUAGCUGUAGAUAUCGACACUGAUUAACUAUAUACAAACUUAAUUCAAGUAAACUACUCACAAAAUUUCAUGCUUCUCUAAUCCUUGUCAUACUAUGUACAAACUUAAUAUAACUUCUCCAAGAGGAAAAAACAGUGCCCCUGUAUAACAGUGUCUUUAUCCACAUUGUACAACAUUAAUUGCAAUGAAAGCAAUGAAUCAUUUAGCAGAUUAUAUGCAAAAAUAUUAAGACAUUCAACACACUUAAGAACAAGUUGAUCACAUCCAAAGAACACUUGAGGCACACAAGUUUACAUUUACUUAAUAUUUAAAAUAAUAACUGCAAACUACAUAACAGAUCAACAGGGCCUUCAGCACUGAAGCUACAUGCAGGGAACUCGCACGAGCUGUUCUUAAUCUAAUCUCUUGUUCUUUCCAACAAUUUCUUUUUCAAAACUAAAAACCUGAUUUCACUAACGUUGUAGGACUAAGAAAACUUGAAUUGAGAACUCUAAAACAAAGGUUCAUGUAAUUACUCUUCUGACUUAGAUGGUUUGGAUGGGAUUAAUCUAAAUAGUCUAAGUUUUCAUAAAACAAAUGACUGAAUACGUCAAGUUCCCUCUAAGCAGUAACUAGAAAACCAAGAAUUUUAAAUGAUCUAGAUUGAAAUUAAAAUUAUUGUUUAACUAGCCGUUGAGGCAACAAGGGUAAAUAUAAUAAAGGGAAAGGAGUUAACACUUUGACUUAUCUCAAAAUUUACUAGCAUGAUAUUUUGAACAAUGUACUGUCCAUAUCGUUUGACCGCGCAUGGUAACAUUACACCUCAUAAUAUUCAUCAAGUGAAGAAACAAGAUGGGGUCAUUGGAGCUAAUGAGAAAGUGGCUCAACAAUUCUGGGCUUCUGUAUCUGAAUCCAGGUCUUCAAUCAGGCUUUUAAGUAGAUCACUCACCAUGCAAUUAAGGCACAUGGGUAGCAAAGUUUAUGAGAGAAUAUCUGUGCUUUUACAGCCUUAUGAUAUGAAGAUUUCUCACUCGAAAAACCCCAAAAGCCUUCUCCUUUACCUCGAAGCUUUGUUGAACAAAGCUUUCUUUGAAGAUUUUGAAUCAAUCGGGUUUCAAAAGAACGCGGUGAACCAAAUAUUAAACCCCAUUGAUCGUUGUGAAGCUAAUUACAAAUCAUUCAAUGAAUUACAAGGUCUAACAUGGGAGGAAGUUCUGAAUAAGGGAACAAGGCAUUUCAGUGAGGAGUUCAGUAAGUAUUGUGACAGGAAAAUGAAUGAAAUUGUAGCUAUGUAAUAUGUUGGGUUGGUUUUUGGUUUUUUUCACUAGAUCUUACAGAAGUGAAACUAACAUGCUAAAGCUGCCCAUCGAUUGAUCCAAGCCCAAACGUGCUGCUAAUUUCUACUGAAACUGAGCUGAGACAAUAACUACAUCAUAAUCUAACACUAUGCUCCAGCACUAGCAAUUUUCAUUGGAUUUAAGGGAAUCUAAACUCUAUACGCAGUACACUGCAACAAAAAGUAACUUCAACAAGACAGAUGUGUAUAAAACAAGGCUAUUCAAUAGAAUAGGUUACCACAAAAGAGAUUAACAGGCAAUGAUUAAAACAAAAACUUACUCAUACUUUAACAACUAAUGAUGUAGUUUAACCAAAAUAAAUUGGGAGUAAAAAAGUACAUGGAUACAGCCAUGGGUUACGUCAAAACUCAAAACAGCACACCAUAUUCCUUUGUUUCAAACAAAAGGGCCGGUCAGGUCUUUUAUGCAACUAAUUUGAUUAAUCUAGUCUUAAACUUUUUAAAACCUCAUGUUAAAGGUGAAUGCAUGAUUCAAUUUCUAGAAAUGUUGAAUCUUUCGUCGUAAAAAAACAUAAAAGGGAAAACAUGUUGAAAGAAUGUUAGGGCAGACAAUGUUUACCUUGAUUGAAUUGGAAAGAUUUUCUUGAGGGUUUAUUUGGAGAUACUUGGGAUUGAUCUCUAAUGAUGUCAAGAGACUUCCCUACUCACAGCAUUUGAAGAACACAAGUCUGUUUUUGGUCGACAAAACAGUGCUCUGAAAGAAAUGAAAUCGGGCAAGAAAUGAAAUGAAAACAGUGCUCUGAGAGUUCUAAAAAGGUGCAAGAAAUGAAACAGGAAGAGGCUGAAAGUGAAACAGGAAUAGAAAUCGGGAGAGAAAGUGAUGUUGGGAGGGAGAGGCUGGAGAUGGCUCUUGUAUUGGGAGGGUAAAACAGGGCAAAUCACAAUCUGGGAGGGUUAAACAGAGCUAAACUGACCUUUUGCUUGGGAAUGGAAAUGGGUCAUUAAGCAGGAAUAGACAUGAAAAGAAAAGAAACAGAGGGAGCAAAUCGGCAUAGGCUAGAAGGAACAGAAGAGAAACAAAGGGGAAGCCGAUGGGAGGGUAAAACAGAGAGGGUAAACUGAAGUGGAGCCUAAUCUGGGCAAAAGGGACGGAUUACAAAUCGGUGAUUUUACUGAUUAGGUCAGUAAUGUAUUACAAUGGUAUUAUUUCUUAAACUUUUACUUACCCAUUUAAC
rnacentral:lncRNA from 1 species